CAGUCGCCGCGGGAACACGAAGGGGGCUAGCGUUGUUCGGAUUUACUGGGCGUAAAGGGUGCGUAGGCGGAUUUUUAAGUCAGGGGUGAAAUCCCAAGGCUCAACCUUGGAACUGCCUUUGAUACUGGAGAUCUUGAGUCCGGGAGAGGUGAGUGGAACUGCGAGUGUAGAGGUGAAAUUCGUAGAUAUUCGCAAGAACACCAGUGGCGAAGGCGGCUCACUGGCCCGGUACUGACGCUGAGGCACGAAAGCGUGGGGAGCAAACAGGAUUAGAUACCCCAGUAGUCCCUGUCUCUUAUAC
rnacentral:rRNA from 1 species